UAGGAUUAGAUACCCUAUUAUUAAAAUUUAAAUUAAAAAUACUAAAAUAGUAGGUAAUUAUUUAUUGAAACUUAAAUAAUUUGGCGGUAUUUUAGUUCAUUUAGAGGAAUCUGUUUAAUAAUUGAUAAUCCACGAAUAAAUUUACUUAAUUUUUUAUUUUGUAUAUCGUUGUUAAAAAAAUAUUUUUUAAUAAUAAUAAUAUUUAAAAAUUUUGAUUAAAAAUUAAAUCAGAUCAAGAUGCAGAUUAUAGUUAAGAAUAUAAUGGAUUACAAUAAAUUUAUUU
rnacentral:rRNA from 1 species